GUCCACGCCGUAAACGAUGAAUACUAGGUGUGGGAUCGUAGGAUUUCCGUGCCGCAGUUAACACAAUAAGUAUUCCACCUGGGGAGUACGGCCGCAAGGUUGAAACUCAAAGGAAUUGACGGGAGCCCGCACAAGCAGUGGAGUAUGUGGUUUAAUUCGACGCAACGCGAAGAACCUUACCAGAGCUUGACAUCCACAGAAGGCCGAGUAAUGUUGGCUGUGCCCUUCGGGGAACUGUGAGACAGGUGGUGCAUGGUUGUCGU
rnacentral:rRNA from 1 species